GAUCGAACGCAUGAAUCUACGU
rnacentral:miRNA from 1 species